ensembl:lncRNA
GGUUUACUUACUAAUACUCAUCCGUAUUAGUAAACACCUAAACUCACAUCAAGAUGAGUGAUGCUGUUGUACGGAAAAAAUAUAUAUAUAAUUUCCAAAGAUGCAUUGUUGAGCUGGGGGAUGCUGUUGCCUGGGUAAAUGCCAACAUGGGCCUUUUCUGAGACUGGGUAGUCCUCACCCCUGAAUGAUGAGGAAAUACAGGGUGCUCUGCAGAUGCUCAGAGAGGCUUCAACUCUAGAGGAAGAACAAGAAGCUCUCUCCCAUUCAUGAUUUUGUUUAAUAAUUUUGAAGACACUGAAACAUUCAUAGACAAAAUAGACAAAAGAGGACUUAAUGAUAAUUUUGAGCUUCCCUGUUAAUUAUGUUUGUUGAUGAGGAUACCUAUUACCUGUCUUUAAACCAUCAGCUAAUGCUGGGUUCCACACAACAAAAAUUACAAGAUCCAGAAAACACAAUAUAAUUUGACGAGACAAAGAGACAAGGAACAUCAUUUAUUUAGCAAGAGUAAACUGGACAGUGUUUUGGAAGUGUUCACCUGGCCAUACAACAUGAUAGGAUGAAUCCAAAGCCUACAGAAUCUGGGCAAAGCUGAAUACACAGUACAUAAAGAAACAGUUUAGUUUUGACAGUGUUGGAAUGUAAUGUUUAGAAUAUUUAAUGGGGUAAUUAAAUGUUUAAUUGUCUAACUGGCAUAUCAUUUAAUUUUGUAUUUCUUAGGUUUAUGCCAUUAACUUUAAGAUUUUGGGCUAUAUUAAUUGACUUUCAAUAAUGUAUGUUGUGCUCCUUUUGACCUGUUCUACUUGUAAUUUAUGCUAUUGAAACAACUUUUAGGAUAAGGGUUAAAUUAGAUGUAACACAUAUUCCUCCCAACAAUGUUUUAAGUCCAUAACCACGUCAUUACUAUAUAAUAAAAAUUGUGCUUGUUCCAGGCACCCCUGGAUAAAUGUAUGGUUCUGUAAACAGAUGUUGACCUGACCUCUAAAUUAUGCAAAUUGAAACAUGCCACCUUUCUGCAACAGGCUAUAGAAAAUUCCACACUUCCAGUUACCAAUUUCAGCUUUCUAGAAGAUUGCUGUUCAAUUGAACAAUGCAAGUCAGAGGAAGGAG